rnacentral:rRNA from 1 species
UACGUAGGGUGCAAGCGUUACUCGGAAUCAUUGGGCGUAAAGGGUAUGUAGGCGGAACUUUAAGUCGGAUGUGAAAGCCUUGGGCUUAACCCAAGAAGAGCAUUCGAUACUACUGUUCUAGAGUUCAGGAGAGGGAGGCAGAAUUCCAGGUGUAGAGGUGAAAUCCGUAGAUAUCUGGAGGAAUACCGGAGGCGAAGGCGGCCUCCUGGACUGAUACUGACGCUGAAAUACGAAAGCGCGGGGAU